rnacentral:lncRNA from 1 species
AAUGCUUGAAUUUUUCAUUUAGCCAAAGUAAUUUGCAUGUAUUAUUUAAAUGUAGUCGGCUCUCUAUGAUAUAUGUUGAUGCUUAAUUUGUGAAACUAUUGUAAGGAAAUUUAAGUUGACUAUCAAUUGCUCUCUUGGUGAUCUUGCUUUUUGGUCCUCAAAUUAUAGUUGAAGUAAAUGUAAAAUAUGUGGUUUAUUAUUAUUCUUCUUGAUAUGAUUUCCGAAUCUCAUUGAUUUGUUUUCCAAUAUUUUUUGUGUGGCUUUAGGUUUUCCAACAUUUUUUGUGUGGCUUUAGGAUAAGGGUCAACUCCCCUCGCAAUUGCUGUUUGUAUAGAGGAUCGCUGGGCACAUCAGUUUCAAAUCUCUGACCAAGGUGAGUUUUUGAAUAUUUUUUGUUUUAUCAUUUUUCAUCAAUAUAAUUAUAUUGCACAUGCUUAAAUUUGUUAAAAUUCUCCUUAGAGAUCUUGCCAAUUCGAAAAUAUGGAGGUAGUAUGGUUCUUUAGAUUUAACGGAAAGAACUGAAAAAACUAAGUAGAUAACAAGAAAUAGAAAAAAACUAGAAAAAUUUACUUUCUAUGGCCAAAUUAAAUAAUUAAAUAGGAAAGAAAAACUAAAUAGCAUCCAAAUUUUUUUAAAAAGUAAUCUUAUAUUAAGAAAUAUAGAAACAAAAAUAUAUCUAAAUUUAAUAGAAAAAACUAAAAAAAUUAGUAGAUAAUAAGAAAUAAAUUAAAUAGAAAUAAACUUGAAAAAUAAACUUUCAAUUAAGAAAUAAUACGAUCAAAUUAAAUAAUUAAAUAGGAAAGAAAAACUAAAUAGUAUCUAAUUUUUUUUAAAAAAUAAACCCAUAUAAAGAAAUAUAGAAA